UAAUUGAGCCUUGUUCUAAUUCCUCCAUUUUUCCAAAAACCCUUAAACAAUAUUGAGUAAUUCUAUAUAACUAUAGAAGAUUUUAUGUUAAAACUAGUAACAAGAAGAAGCACUUCUUUUAUAAUGCAAGUGUAAAUCAGACAGGACACACCACUGAUAAUUAAUAUCAAUGAAGAAAAAGUAGCAACUUAACAAGAAAACCCUACUAACACCCCAUGUUAAUCUAACACCAGAGCAUUUCAAAAAAGAUUAAAAGAAAGAGAAGGAACUCGGCAAAUAUUAACCUCGCCUGUUUACCAAAAACAUCGCCUCUUGAAUAAAUAUGAGAGGUCCAGCCUGCCCAGUGACCCUGUUCAACGGCCGCGGUAUUCUAACCGUGCGAAGGUAGCGUAAUCACUUGUCCUUUAAAUAAGGACUGGUAUGAACGGCACCACGAAGGUUAUACUGUCUCCUCUUUCUAAUCAGUGAAACUAAUCUCCCCGUGAAGAAGCGAGGAUAAACAUAUAAGACGAGAAGACCCUAUGGAGCUUUAAACCACGCAACACUUGCACCAAUUCCUUACAAAUUUCAGAAAACCCCCACUCACCCAUGCAAAAUGAUUGCCAAUUUUAGGUUGGGGUGACCACGGAGAAAAAAACAACCUCCACAUUGAAAGGAAUUAUACUCCUUAGCCAAGAGCUACCCCUCUAAGCACCAACACAAUGACAUUAAUUGACCCAAUAUUUUGAUCAACGAACCAAGUUACCCUAGGGAUAACAGCGCAAUCCACUUUAAGAGCCCCUAUCGACAAGUGGGUUUACGACCUCGAUGUUGGAUCAGGGUAUCCCAGUGGUGCAGCCGCUACUAAAGGUUCGUUU
rnacentral:rRNA from 1 species